ACUAGGGAUCGGUCGAACUCAAAUNUUAUGUGUCGCUCGGCACCUUACGAGAAAUCAUAAGUCUUUGGGUUCUGGGGGGAGUAUGGUCGCAAGGCUGAAACUUAAAGGAAUUGACGGAAGGGCACCACCAGGUGUGGAGCCUGCGGCUUAAUUUGACUCAACACGGGGAAACUCACCAGGUCCAGACAUAGCUAGGAUUGACAGAUUGAUAGCUCUUUCUUGAUUCUAUGG
rnacentral:rRNA from 1 species